CUGGCGGCACGCCUAACACAUGCAAGUCGAACGCAGUAGCAAUACUGAGUGGCAAACGGGUGAGUAUAAUGUGGGAAUCUGCCUUUUUGGUUCGGAAUAACACGAGGAAACUUUGUGCUAAUAACCGGAUAAAGCCCUUACGGGGAAAGUUUUAAUGCCAAAAGAUGAGCCCGCACUUGAUUAGCUAGUUGUAAGGUAAUGGCUUACCAAGGCAACGAUCAAUAGGCUGUUCUUAGAGGAAGACCCAGCCACAUUGGGACUGAGACACGCCAAACUCC
rnacentral:rRNA from 1 species